rnacentral:misc_RNA from 1 species
GAAAUGCGAUAAGUAAUGUGAAUUGCAGAAUUCAGUGAAUCAUCGAAUCUUUGAACGCACAUUGCGCCCCUUGGUAUUCCGGGGGGCAUGCCUGUUCGAGCGUCAUUAUAACCCCUCAAGCUCAGCUUGGUGUUGGGGCCUGCCGACUGGCAGCCCUUAAAAUCAGUGGCGGCGCCAUCUGGCUCUAAGCGUAGUAAUUUCUCUCGCUAUAGGGUCCCGGUGGACGCUGGCCAGCAACCCCCAACUUUCUAUGGUUGACCUCGGAUCAGGUAGGGAUACCCGCUGAACUUAA